UACGGAGGGUGCAAGCGUUAUUCGGAAUUACUGGGCGUAAAGCGCGCGUAGGCGGCUUUGUAAGUCAGGGGUGAAAUCCCACGGCUCAACCGUGGAACUGCCUUUGAAACUGCGAGGCUUGAAUCCUGGAGAGGGUGGCGGAAUUCCUGGUGUAGGAGUGAAAUCCGUAGAUAUCAGGAGGAACACCGGUGGCGAAGGCGGCCACCUGGACAGGUAUUGACGCUGAGGCACGAAAGUGUGGGGAUCAAACAGGAUUAGAUACCCUGGUAGUCCCUGA
rnacentral:rRNA from 1 species